GGCCGGUUAGCUCAGUCAGUUGAGCAUGGCGCUAGCAACGCUAAGGUCACGGGUUUGAUGUUUGAUUCCCGUUCGGUCC
rnacentral:tRNA from 1 species